ensembl:lncRNA
CUUUUUUUUUUUUUUUUUUUUUUUUUUUUUAAACAUAGUAUAAAUCAAUUAUCUUUUUCCUUCAGUAUUUGGAAUAGCAAAAAUUAUUUCUGGUCCCUCCUUAGAUCAAUCAACACCACUUUUCAUAACAUAUAACACUGAAAUUUACAGACAUCCCUGAAAAGUUUUUAAGUAAACGAGUGAAUCACAGUGGAGUCUCAAUCAGUUAACAGUGUAGAUCCAUUUUUUUUUUUUAAAAACUGAAUAUUAAAAGAAAUCUUCAAGCUAAAAACAAAAACAAAACCCUCCUAAGAACUAAAGCCAAGUGUGUGUUGUCAAUGAUUCGAUACUUUUAUCCCCUGACUGAUUUAGACUCCUCCUCCUCAUGUUGUAAGACAUAUUUGCUGAAAUCUUCACGCCAAGCUUUUGGGACACCUGGGUGAAGAGGCUAUGCUACUGUUGCAUCUAAGGGAAUAGUGGCACCAUUUCUUCCCUAAUAGACUUCAUAUCCAAAGAUGAGCAAUAAAUCUCACUCCCCUGCAUUUACCAGCAUGUUAUCAGGAGAUAAUACUUGCUGUGCAAAUUGAUGACAGCUGAUCCUCCCACCCCACCCCAUCCCCUACUGCCAAUAUGAGGUUAUCAUCAGUUUGUCAUUAUGCACUGGCCUUUCACUCUUUCAAUCAGAAAAGCUGUGGCUUACUUUAAAAAGGUGGGGAAGGGACGGGGAGAAAUGAAAAACCAAGAGUCUAAAGGCACAAGGUCGCAUAGCUGCUCUAGUUGGAGUUUGUAAACAGAGAAUAGGUUGAAUUUAGGUAAUCCCAAUCUAUGAGAGUAAAAAGGCAUCCACAGCAGGCUUUUAUCCAGCCAGCUUCUUUGAGACCCUUCAUGGGUUUUGAGGUCUACAAAGUAUGCACUAAAAUACCCAUACUUCAAAAAGCAAUAAGGCAAAUAGUAUAAUCAUUAUUCCAAAAGUUACAAUGGUAGUGUAGGCAUACAUAGUAUAAUUUAGUUACAAUGUGUGGUACUGUUUCUAUUAUAUAACCAUAUUAACUGUUUAUUUCCUACAUAAUUAUAAAUUCAGCUGGGUUUCAGUUGAACACAAAACCGUCCUUGUACCACCACUGAUAGUUGGCAAUAGCUCUUUGACAGCAGUUUUUAUUCUGCUGUAGAAAUUAUCCUUGAACUGAAAAAGUCCACAAUCCAAUGUCCAGUCAUUAAACACUAUCAUAUUUGUGAAGAGCUUCUUCCAACUUCUGGGUAACUUUUUGGAAAAAUAUUAUUUGUUGUUGUAAGAAAUGCUGCAUCUGUGAUUUAAAGUCUCUUACUCGAAUCUGAUGGAAGUGGUGAAUUUCAGCCAAAGUGGCAAAAGAAAUAGUGUUACAGCGAUCCUGAAUGCCGUCAGCCUUCUGCACCUCCAUCUUCCCUUCCUCCACGUGUCGCCUACUCUCCUUGACUUUGGUAAGAGCUCCUGUAGUUAAAAAUAACAAUUAAUUAAAAUCCUAUAUAUCUACAAAUCCCAAUGACAUAACUACAUAUUAAACAGAAUCUUGGGCAUUGCAAAUAGUUGCCCAAACUACUUUCAAUACCUUUGAAAUUUAAAGUAAGGACCAUAAUUACUCAUUUUAAAAAAAGAAGGAAUCCAGUAAAGUUUCUGAAAACACUCCCUUUGUUAAAAUUUGUCUUCAAAAACUAGUGUUUGCCAUACUCACCAAGAAUCUGUAGUAUCUCAUCUCCUCCAGGUAGAGAUGCUAUACAUAAUUGAUAAUAAACUGAAAGGAAAUGUCCUUUAAAAGACGCAACAAGAAAAUGCAGUUUUCACACGCUUAAAAGGUGUGACAUCAUUAUUUCCACAUAUAUUAAGAGAAUUACACUGUUUAUAAAAACAUCCCAUAAAGGAUCCAAACCCACUUCCUCAGAAAGUCUCACUAAAUAAUUAAGACUCUAGAACCAGUCUCUGAAACAAGUUAGUACCAACACAGGUUGUGUUUUGGAAUCAUGUCACAGUCGUAGGUGGUGCUUGGCAAUGUUGCCAGUCUACAAUUGGAGGUCACCCUCAUCAGGGUUGGCCAAGCCCAUAUCUUGUCCAGAGUAAACACCUAGCUGAAGUGCUCAACAUACAGAAAGUGCCUGGUGAAGGGGUGAAUUGCGAACACAUGUCUGAUUUUGACUUCACGUUGCAUCGGGAGACCCACACCUGGAGUACAAGGGCUUUAAUAAGAAUUUGCCCCUUUUUUGGGACUAUCAGGAUUGUUGAGUGUUAACUCUGCCCCGAUGAUGACCUAGGAAUGAUGCCAGCGGUUCCAUAAUCUCAUGCCUAGAAGUAUCAACAGAGGGUGUUGCAGGGGUGGGGGUGAAAGAUUGGCCACUCCGGCAGGUGCCAUAUGAAGGCAGGCCUUCCCCUGGAAGCACAGUCAUACAAAGACACAAAAGAUUGAGGAUGUUUAGGGGUAGGAAAUAGGCUAUUCCUAAGUUCUUGGGAAUGAGUAAUGAUAAAGCUGAAAUCACUUGAACAAAGCCAGCUUAAGAAUUCAGAUUUCCCUACUGUGCCUAGCACUCAUUCCACCAAACCAUACUGAAAGACAAGACAGAACACAGAGAGAAGCAGCUAGAGUGCCUGGCUUGGCAGUCUGAGAACACAGUACUACUGAGGAGGGAACCAGGAACCUUGAGUAGAAGGAGGUACAGAAACUGAGAGACUUUGUUUCGGAAAUGUUGUUUUACCCAAUGGUGAAAUAUACGAGGGAAGAUGCCCUAUUUCUAAAUUUCUUCAAAUCUCCUACAGAAUAAUAUAAAAUACAAUAUUAAACAAAACCCUUAAGGUAAAGCAGUAUGCUUUUUUGGCAUAGUUCAAAGACCUGAGAAAUGAAAAAGCACCAACAGCAAAUUUCAUCCAUAUAAAUGUAUGUGCAGGUGUGCACAUAUGUACACAUUUAUUUUCAUUGAUUUAUUCUAAAUGAGCCCUUUAAGUGAAAAGCAGCAAAGCCCUGAAACAAGAACACAUGGGUACUGCAGCUGCAAGGAGCACACAUGCCCACACCACUUCCACCUAAGCCAUGGCAGAGAAGUGCGCUCUGCUAGACAGAGGAAGACCCCACCCCAGUUCUACUAAGAAGCCAUCACUCUGAAAGUAAGGCCUUUUAAACAUUUCUAUAUGGCUGACAGUAUCAGCAAAGCACUAAAAUUUGCCUGCUUGAAGAGAAAGACAUUUCCCCAACAUAAAAAAUUAGUAAUAAUUUAUUGUAAAACAUUUAUCUUUGUUAUAUUUGUACAGGUUUCACAUUUCAUAUACAGAAAUUGAAGUUGAAAAGACAGGAGGGCUGGGAGCAGUGGCUCAUGUCUGCAAUCCUAACACUUUGGGAGGCUGAGCUGGGUGGAUCACCUGAGGUCAGGAAAUCGAGAUCAGCCUGGCCAACAUGGUAAAACUCCAUCUCUACUGAAAAUACAAAAAUUAGCUGGGCGUGGUGGCAGGCACCUGUAAUCCCAGCUACUCGGGAGGCUGAGGCAGGAGGAUCACUUGAAGCAGGAAGGCAGAGGGUGCAGUGAGCUGAGAUCACAACGCUGCACUCCACCCUGGGAAACAAGAGCAAAACUGUCUCAAAAAAAGAGAAAGAAGAAAAGACAAGACAAGACGAGGAAAGUAUAACAGGUAAAACUACAGGAAAAAAAAUUCAAAAAGACUGAGAAUGUGUAGUGAAAAAAUACAUGUUUUAUAAUGAUAAAGGGAAUAGGAAAUUAAAAGAGAAAAAUCUCAAAUGAUUUGACUAUAUUUUCCAUCUGAUUUCAAUCCAAGGUACCCGAGGAAGCCACAGUCCUAUGUUCAAAUGCUAAGGACCAGAAUGCAGGAUCCUGCCCUGCUCAGAGCCUGACCUACGUAACAGCUAUUGCCUGUAUUGGUAAUAUUCUGCAAGUAUUACUUGCUCUAACUACUCUAUGGCUUUUCACCAUAGAGAAUAGAGUCCAGUAUAGAGAAGCUCUGAAACCUGGCCUUGAAUUGGGUGAAUGUCAACUAAGUUGCAGCUUGUCAAACUCCAAAUUAGUUCACCAUAUUUUGAGAAACUGCAUUGCGUUAUAUAGAAUUACAGAUGUGCACCCGUAACAACCAAUUUAAAAAUCAACAAGUCUAAGGCUUGCCACGGUGGCUUGUGCCUAAAAUCCCGGCAAUUUGGGAGGCUGAGGCAGGGGGAUGGGCAAAGCCAGGAGUUUGAGACCAGCCUGGGCAACAUGGUGAAACCCCAUUCCUAUGAAAAAUACAAAAAUUUAGCCAGUCCUGGCAGUGCACAUCUAUAGUCUCAGCUACUCCAGAGGCUGAGGUGGGAGGAUCAUCUGAUUCCGGGAGGUUGAGGCUGCAAUGAGCUGUGAUCACAGUACUGCAUCUCCAGCCUGCUGGGUGACAGAGUAAAACCCAAUCUCAAAAAAAAAAAAAAAAAAAAAAAGAACAAGUCUAAAGUUUUUACAACUUAUAUCAGCAUACAUUUUCCAAAGUCUCAGAUACAACAAUGAGUAUUAAUAUCUCUUUGAGGCCCCAGGAUCUUGCCAGCAUGUAAUAACUUCAAGCUUCCUAAGCAUACAUACUAGAGAAGCCAAGAAGAAUUUGGGACUCAUUUUUAGUCAGGCAUGGUGGCAGGCGCCUGUAAUCCCAGGUACCCGGGAGGCUGAGGCAGGAGAAUUGCUUGAACCCAGGAGGCAGAGGUUGCAAUGAGCCAAGAUGGCACCAUUGCACUCCAGCUUGGGCAACAAGUGUGAAACUCCAUCUUAAAAAAACCAAGAAAACAACAAAACGAAACAAAAAAAAACCAAAGACUCAUUUUUUCUCCAAGUAUGAAUUUAUUAAGUGAAUAACACAAAAUGUUGCUGUUUUUAAAAGUCCCCAAAAGGUUGGGCUCCCGGGUGAUAAUUUUAAUGUGAACAUUUAUGGAAAGCCUGUCAUGUAUAGAGCACACUGAUAGAACAGGGAGAUUCAAACAGGAGCCACACCGCAAAGCACCGUCAGGGCAGGCAAACUACCCUGACACAAAGUGAGAUAGGUCCACGAAGCACACAAUUCUGCAUGGGAGUUGAAUACGGCUUUCUCCAAGAUAACAUGUGACCAAUGUGACAACAGAAAAUACUCAGAGGGCCUGCUACAUGCGCACUGCGCUAUGGAUGGUGGCAGGGUGGAGGGUAGAGAAUAGAAUAUCUGAACAGUAAAUGGUAGCUGCUAUAAAUAGCAAUAACAUAUGCUAGACAUUUUCCAUCUAACUUUCACUACAACUUUACAACAGACAUUACUCCUAGUUUUACUACAAGGAAAUUGAGGAAGUUAUGCAACGUCUUUGAGCCUGACCAUCAUCCACAUAACCCAGCAGGAGGCUGAGAUGGGAUCUGACUGCAUAACUGACUUCAAAGCAAGCACUACAACUAUUUAGAAGAGAACGUGCUAGACAGGUGUGGUGACGCACACCUGUACUCCCAGCUACUCAGGAGGCUGAGGCAGGAGAGUCCAGGAAUUCCAGGCUGCAGUGACCUGUGAUCAUGCCACUGCACUUCAGCCUGAGUAAUAAAGCAAGACCCUGUCUAAAAAAUUAAAAAAUAAAAACUAUAUAAAAUGGUAAACUAAGGUAUUAAAUAGCAUACUUUAAAUGUACAAAUUUGUAGAAUAAGGAGAGCUACGUGUAAUCAAGGAAGAUUAUGUCUCCAUAAAAUUGUAGCCACAGAUGUAGAACAAGUUUUUAAAAACAAAAAUAACUUCCUUUAACUGAGAUGUAACUAAAUUGAUUUUCUCCCAGAUACACCUUCAAAAGAAAGUUAAAAGAAGAUUAGCAAUAAAACAAGUUGACGGUAAUAUACUUAGAACAAAUUAAAAAUCGAGAGUUCCUGAAUAUAUCCUGAAUUGAAGAUAAGAGCUGUUAAUGUUCAGAAUGACAACGCCAAGGACCUUCCAACAUCUGAAGCCAAAUAAAAAAAGUUAACUCUUAUAAAAUACUUUGCAAAGGUUUACAAUAUAUACAUCUUUUCCCAAGAAAAUAAUUUCUUUUUUUAAAAACUAAUCUCACAACUUUCCAACUUCCAAUUAGUUUUUUUCUGUACACCUUUUAACAAACAGUAAAGGUAUCAGUGCUCUCCUCCCUAUGAAAACGGUAAGCUAAUUAUGGAAGUCAAUUGACUAGUUCUGACCAGAAGUAAACAGGAAAAAAAAAAUGACAUCUUUUAAACAGCUCAAGUGAUCCACAGACAGACAGCAUGAGUGUUUAACACUUGGGGACUAACACACAGAACCACUUUCUGGGGUUCCCAGGAAGCUUCCCUCUACCCACCUCUGCCUAACUCUGCCUAGCUCCUAACUCUGAGUUCAAUCAAAAAGAAAGUGGAAACAUAUUUUUCCAAUAGAAACAGUAUUACAAGCGUUGGCUAGAUGUGAGUGAAAUAGUAUUAUUAUUAGAAGUAGAAUUUGGUUUUGUUACAAAUGGUUGGGUUCUUACAGUUGAUCUAACUGCUCAAACUGGGAAUUAUGUGUACAUAUUUUUAAGUUUCACAAUUAUCUUCAUAUUCAAAAUUUUAAAUAUCACAAGAAAGGCAGAGAGCAAAAUUUUCAGUUCUAGCACGUUGGAGGCAGAAACUAUUGGAGCAGAGUUAGAUGAUCAUAGACUUGCUACUUCUAGGAUAACUUUAGAAAUUAAGUAAUUUGUAGCUGCCUAAGAAACAACUGCAGAGGUACAAUACAACCAGCUGCAGAGCUGUAACAAAGUAUGACAGCGUUUUUUCAGCAUUCUCUGCAGAGCUGUAACAAAGUAGGAGAGCAUUUUUAAAGCAUUCUCAGGGCUAUACUGCAUUGUUUUUUAACCAAACCAGAGGAGUGUAAAUGAAAACUAAAAAUGUUGCCCAGAAUCUAAAUAACACAAGGGCUACACAUUUUUAUCACGGAACCAACAUGAAAAUAGGCAAUAGCAUCAAAAGCUCUGCUUUUUAAGAGGCUAAUUUAGGAGGAACAUGCCCCCGUGCCAGCCCCCUCCCCUCAUAAACAUCAUAUUGCCACCACGCUGCUUUCAAAACAGAAGAGGGAAAUGAAAGAAUGGGGGAGCAAUUAUACAAUGAAGUCUAAGGUCAAAAGCAUCACUGUUAGAACAAACAAAAGAUCCCACAGUACUCAUAGUUAGAACAGCUUUAAGAUGAAAGAAAAUAAUAAACAGGUGUAAUCAGAGGGAAAAACAUUUUCCAACGACAAUGUCACUGUAAACUGAAACUGCUUCUUGGGCUAAAGUAACAGACAUUAGUUAGCUGCAUCUGGAAUAGCAUGAACAUAUUACGAUUUUAUUAUGAAAAGAAAGUUCAGGUGCACGUUAAAUAGAGAUUAAAUAAGAGGCUGACAAUACAGACCAGUGUGAAUAUACUCUUUAAAAAACCUACCAAUGAAGUAAUAACUUUUCCAAUUCAGAAGAAAACACUAUUUACACGUGAAGUAGUGCAGCCUUCCCAAGUUACAAAACUGAAAAGAAAUUUUCUUCUCUCUGUCUCUCUAUUUAAUUUAAAUUGUAGAGACAAGGUUUCACCAUGUUGCCCAGGCCGGUCUUCAACACCUGAGCUCAAGCGAUCCACCCGCCUCAGCCUCCCAAACUGCUGGGAUUAAAAGCAUAAGCCGCCGCCCCCAGCCUGAAAAAUACAUUCUUAAAAUGAAUCUGAAGUACAGGAAAAAUAAUUAUUUAAAGUGAGGCAAUAGAUUUCAACGACAUCCCAAGAUAGUGAUCCUGAAUAGGCAAUAGGAGCCCAGAGUGCCUCCCCCAGGCUGAGCCUCCAACACACUGCAGCUGUUUCUUCCUCAGGGGAUCUCUGUGAAAGAGGCAGGAAGGAUCCUAGAGUAAGCCCCUCCUAAAAAGGUUUACCUGUUGAAAGUGAAGUUUUGGUAGAGAGUUCAACUUAAUUAUUGCAUUAGUUUGGUGGAUUGCUCGAAUUCUUCCACAGGAUAGAAAGUGAACUCAGGAACUAAAAACCCUCAGUUCUAAUUCCUAAAGGAGAGGAAGGAGCCGGAAGGCACCUUCUCACAUUCCAGUCCUAGAGACGCCCUCUGGGGAAGGCUAGGCAGAGCUGCUUCCCAGGUGAGAACGGCAGAGCUGGCUCUCAGAUUUUUUUUUUUUUUUUUAAUGCUAAAAAGGUCUUAGAAGAGUUUCUAUACAAUUCUCUCCAUUCUACAAAGAAGAGGGUGAGCCACUUGUUCAAAGUCCCACAGCUAAUUCAUGGCAAAGACCCCACCUCCACCUGCCUGCCAGCCCUGGCAUGUCCCAUUCUCCCUUCCAAGCAGGGCAUCCUCAUUCAGGAGACCUACUACCUUUUUUGUGGGCAUAGAUUGAGUGGAUUAAGGCCUGAGAUGGAGACUUGAACCUGCUACAUUGUUGAAAAGGAUCCUUUCCUUUCUACAUUUUGAGAAUUAAAAGGAAAAUUAAACCAAUAUUUUUACUUUGGUUUAGGAUUUGUUAUUAACAAAAUCUCCUAGAUUCCCAAGCUGAUUCUGUACCUGUAAAAUUCCCAACAGGGCUCAUUUUCAUAUCAGUGCAAUUGCCAAAGCUCAGAGAAAGGUACGUUGCCCCACUUCUCCAUCACCAGUCCUAGCUCCAGAGAAAGCAAAUGUCCUAAAUUCACUUCCAUCCCCCCUCCUACCAUUUUUCUUUGUAUCUAACCACUGUAAGCCAUCUCGCAGCUCUAAAGGAUGCUCAGGCUGAAAUGAGGAAAGCAAGAAAUAACUAUGUUUUUGUUUAUAAUACAUAUGUUCUCCAUUUCAGAGGAAUUAUAUUACUCAUGUUUGCAAUGAAUAUAAAACAAUGAAAACAAAAGAAUUUUUAAUCAUGUGACAAGGUUCAUUAAUAUUACCUUAAAAGGCUCAAAUUUUUAAAAAUCAUUUAUAAAUUAUGAAUUAGAAAUCAGCACCAUUUUCAAAAGCAUCACACUAUUUACAUAGCAUAUCAUUAAACUGUUUCCAUCAGUAAAAACACUUAAGAUUUCAAUGCCAAUUUUUUUCUAGAAUGACAGUAUGAGAGUAGUGAAUCUCUUGAGUCAUGUAGCCCAUGUG